GUGAGCUCUGAUUGUGUCACCAAGCAACAGAGUGAGAACAGUGCCUAUAAAAAAAAGAGAGAGAGAGAGAAGAAAGUUUUGUUAAACUCUUUAAUACGGUUUUUACUGUACCAUCAAUCAUCAAAGUGUAGCAGCUCAGAAGCCCAUGUGUGAAGCAUCUGGCUAUUCCUGGUCAGAAGUACUUGAGACCCUCUUUAGGGAAAAACACUCACAGGUCCAAUUUUCCAUUCCAUUUUUGCUCGUGAGUUCUCCAUGCUUUUAAAUAAAAGUUCAAGCUCCCUAAAGUUCACACUCAUUCAAACUCCUUUGGCUCUUUAGCUACAGAAUGCAGGAACUCAGCUAUUUGAGAAAGACUGCUCUAGGCUACGUUUGAUGCAAUCCCUGUUUCUAUUUUGAUCCUGCCUUGUCUCCUACACACUUCCGUUUCUUCUUCUGUAGGCUCUUCCUCUGCCCAUCUACUUAUAUCUCCACAUCCCAAAUCCAAAAGCUCUACUCCUUUUCUUCUCCUUGAAAUACGUACAUUCCUUAACUUUGAACUUAACCUCUGAAACAUUUUUAAAGACCAAUUAAGUCUCAAAACACAAAAUUUGCAAAAUUCUUUAUGUUUUUGUAAAACCACUCCUUUCCCUGUCUUUCACUCCUUGAGUGGCUAUUCAAGCCCUGGUCGACCAGAUUUAAAUGCUGUGUGACCUUGAGCAAAUUAAUCACUCUUUCUGAGCUACCUUUCAUUUCUUCACCACAAUGGUCAGACAGUAAUGCACACUUCAUGGGCAGCUGAACAUUAAAUAAGCCAAUGUUGUUAAAUGACAUAGUACAGUGCUUCUCUUCUUAUGUAACUUACCCCUUGUGUCUAUUAAAUUAUGCAGUAAUUCUGGAAAGAGGAGGUAACAUAUCAGAGUACCUCAUACUAAACUUAAUAAUACCAUCAUAUGAACAAAGACACAACUAUAGAAGUGUUAGGUACAAUUUCUGCUUAAUAAAUUUUAGUAUAUUGCUACAUUCAAAUUUCAGUGGGAAUCAGACUUGAUCCUUCUCAGUUGGAGUGGAAAUAACCUCUUCCAUGCCUCCUGCAUACCUUAGUACAUUGAUGGGAUAUGGGUCUGUAGCAAAUGAGAGUGGCAGGUUCUGAGAUUUAUAUAUAGGUACCUGCUAUUGUUUGUUCUAUAUGAAACAGCAGAAAAAUACUGAGCCAAGUUUGGGCCAAGAUAACCUAACCCACUCAAAGAUUUUACAGCUGGAUGAGGAUGCUUUGGGGAUACUCCAUUAACAGUGGACUGCCUAUAACUCACCCAAAAGCAUAUUUAUAAAAAUAUAGAUGGAAAAAAUAAGCUUAUAUUUUUGCUUUUCUUCAGGCAAUUUCCACUAACCUAGAUAUUGUGCUGCUUUUUAACUCUGCAUAUUAUCAUGUGCAAAUUAAUGUAUGCAACUUAACAAUACUCUGUAGUUGAAAUCAAGGCAAUUUAGCCUACUAAAAAAAUAGUUAUUUAUGGCACCAGAACCAUUAGAUCAGAUCAAAAGCCCUUGAAAACCAAGAAUGGAGAUCUAGUUCUAGUAGGAUAUUUCCCUGAAUGGAUUAGAGAUUGAUGUUUUAAAUCCUCAUCAUAAUUUUAUUAAUUGAAAAUAAUAUUUACUGUUUUUGCUUGGGCUACUAUUUUCCUUUUAUUGCCUUCAUAUUCUGCUCCUAAAUCUUACAAACAAUUAAACAUAUUAACAUUAGAAAACAGUUUGCUGCUAUAUAUUUACCCAAUUAUGACAGCACUUUUAUUCUUUUUGCAUUAUUUUGAUAUAAUACAUUUUUCUUUGCAUAAUGUCUUUGGUGAAAACCAAAUGACAAACGUAUUUGCAAGAAAAUUAUUAGUCAAGAGAGGGCAGUAAGGUUUCUCUAGAGUGAAAUAAAGAGAUUUCUUUUAGAAGAAAGCUAGGAAAUUAAGAACUUUGAGACUUUUAAAAAUACCAUAACUUGCUCUCAGGGUUAAAAAGUUAACCAUGUUUACUAAAAAAUUACAAUUUAAUAUCAGAAAUCUCUUCCCAUACUAAGAAACAGGUAUCCUUCAAGAAGGAAGAGUGGGGAAGUUCGUAAGAGUUCAUCUUUAUUUUCCCACUUCUGGUUUAUUUUACCCUUGGUCAAUCCACUCAAGGAGUAUAAGACUAAAGCUGUAGAGUCAUUUUCAAGUUGCACAAAUGGACAGAAUUCCUGAAAGUGUACCAGAUUACAAAGCUCAAGUUUUUGGAGACAGGCACACCUGUCUAGCAUUGUAGCAUUUCUAUUUACUGGACAUCCUAGGUGGUUGCCCAAUAAUUAUGAGAACUACUACAAGACCGAGACAAAGUUUUAUACAUGCCAUAUACUCAGUUCUCAGUUAAUACCAGUUUAUCAUCCUCUCCUUUUUCCCUUAAAAAUUGACAUAAUAAAAUUAUGUUGAGAAAACUUAAGUCAACCUAUAGAACAAUGACCAAGAGACAGGCAUGACUAAUAAACACCGAAAAUAGUCAGCCUCAGUAGGUGCUCAAGAUGAAGAAAUAAAAAUAACUAGAUGCUGACUUUUCAAUUUUUAACUUAACUAUGCUUAAAAAUAGAUAAUAUUGGAGAUACAGUUAUUCUUACAUUGAUGGUAAGAGUAUAAAUUAGGAGAACUAAACUAAAGUAAUUUGGCUACAUGGUAUGUCUUAAAAUUUCAUACCUUUUGACUUAAUAAUUCUACAAAUUUGAUUACAGUGAUAAUUGUAUUUUCUCACAAGGCUUUAUAGAAUUCUAGCCAUUAGACCACCAGGGAGUCCACAGAGAUUUAUAAAGAUUUUCAUUGGGAUGUUUUCAAAUAAUAAAAAAAUAUUAUAUGGUUAAACAUUUUGUGGUGAUUAAACACAAUGAUAUCAGAGAAUGAUUAAUAGCAUGAGAAAAGUCUGUGUAGGCCAUAUCUCUCUAAAAAGCAAGACAGUCAACUAUACAUAGAGUAUGGUUCAAAUUGUGCAAAAAAGGGAAAAGAAUAUAUGAAUUAUCAAAGACAGGAAAAAAAGACUCAAAGGAGAACAAUGGCUGUCUUUAACAGUGGGGUUAUUGAUGAGUUCUAUUUUCUUUAUUUAUACUUUCCUGUGUUUUCUGAAUCUUUACACUGUUCAUGACACCGUUUUAUGUUCAGAAACAAAACAAAAACAAAAACAUGAAGUCGGUCCAUUGAGGUGAAGAAAGCCGAUUAAGAAGCCUGAGUGCAAUUGAAACUCCUCAGCCUACAACCAGGCUCAUCUGAAGGGGAAAGAUGUGCUAGUUCCAUCAGCUCCUGAUCCAAGAGGAGUGACCCACAAGUUGGUGCCCUGUGACUAGGAGAAGCUUCUGAGGGACAGGGAAGGGUAGGGCUACCAAGACAUUUUUAGUACAUAGGGUUUGCUUGGUUCCAACAUGAUACCCCUGAACUUCCAAACCAACUAAGAGUUCAACUAUGCUUGGAAACUAUUUUACCUCAUGCCUAAAAUCUGGGCUUUUCAGACUUUUUUAAGCAUCACCGUGAACCAGCAUGGGUCCAGGGAUUCCCACUUAAGAAACCACUUGGUUUCCUUCUUUCUAUUCACCCCACUUCAUUCUAACAAUAACCACUGUCACUUUGUAGAAAUAAGGACACUGAGGCCCACAUCACGUACCAGGUACAUUGGGCUUGUCUGACCAUAUUUUAUUGUAUUGUCUGUGAGUCUCUAUGUUGUGUUCAUAUUGUCCAGAAUAAAAAGAAAAUGAAAUAGUUUAUUUAAAUAUAGAAAUUGCCUUAAGAGUGACUUAAGUUUUAAAAUAAUAAAUUUGCUCAUUUAAACGUUGGAAAGCAUUGCUCAUUGUUAUCUUGGGUAUUGCCAGGUUUAGCAAUAAGGGACCAGGAACAUGAAUAUACAGAGAAAGGAAUGCUACUUAAAGGGUGUUAGUGUUAGAUUUAAAGAUGCAGACAAUUGUGGGAAACGACAUGAGUUUAAUUAAUACAGGCAGGAGAUGCAAUGACUGUUCUGUAUGUAGAAAGCUUUGGGCAGAGGACAUAGUGACUUUCCAAGCAAAGAGACAAGCUUCCAUGGGCCUCAUGUUCUCAUGAGGUUCUUACCCUCCUGUUCUCAGAAGUUAUCUUUUCACUCUCUCAACUCAUCGUAAGUGUUCUAAGGAAGCCCUGGUUCUUGGCCCACAACACCAGAAUAUUCCUCAGUGUCUACUAUGAGAUGCAGUGACUUGCAGAUGAAAUUUUAAGCCUUCUAACUCUUUGCUGGACCGGAUUUACAACCUAAGAGCUACUUCUGUAAAAGAAAAAGAGUCAGAGAAACCAGGACUGGAGAACACGUGGUGAAACAGGAAGAAUGGGGGCAUCUGCAGUGAGAUUAGUAAUCGAUAUUAAAAUGCCACUAAGUACUUUAGGGCAGCAUGAGGCGUGCUUAAAAUUUGGGUCAGGAGGGCAGUAAUUGCCAGAGAACAAACAAGAGUGGUAGGAAAAAUAAAGAACUCCCCAAAUUGAAUGCCACUGUUAAGAAGAAGGAAAUUAGGAUACUAGACAUAAAAGAUACAAAGUAACUACAUGGUUACUAUAGUAACCAUUUGCUCCUGUUAAGAAAUACCAUCUACAUUCUCUCUAAAUUCCUGAUCAAUUUUACAGUGACCUCAUAUGACCAAUCUUGAUACAAUGCUAUAUAUUUAAUGAACGUGGUAACUCAGUAUUUGGUUUUAAUGGACCUAUUUUUAAAUUUGCUGAUAUUGAUCUUAGUCAAUAUGUUUUUGCUGAUCUUUAAUCCUUUUGAUUCUAAUCCAGGCAACUGACUGGUGCCUGUCUGAGACUGUCUGGCCACUAACAGAUGGGCUAGCCUUCACAUGGCCUGUUAUGUCACUACAAAUUUGAGAGUGUGCUAACAUAAAUAAUCCAGAUUCAUGUCCCCCAUAGACAGAACAUAUUUGCUUUCAUCAUGUAUAUGGGAUAAAUGUAUAGUCCUACCAUUUUUUUCCUUUGAACUUUCACUCACUUUUAUGAUGAAAUAUACAUUAGAAACUUUAAAAAAGGCUUUGUCUUGUCAAUCACUUAAAAAUCCAGUACAUUCCCUUUUUCAAAGACUUUCAUGAGUCUUUCAUGCAGUCUGCAUGAAAUCUAUUUUAACUUAUUUUUUUAAAAAUAGCAUUUUAUUUUGUUCUGUGGGGUAAGAAUUCAUUGCCUCUAAAAUUAAUUCCACUUGAAGAGCUCUCAUUUUUCUCUCCACUUAGUCAAGGAUAAAGGGAGGCUCUUCUCUUUCUUCCUAGUUACAAUAUUUCCUCUUUUAAUACUCUCCCUACAAUACUACUUCUCCAUCAGGAUUUCUUUAACUGGCACCCACCAAUAGAAUUCAGGGGUUCGGUGAACUUAGGUACGAAUAAAAAUUUUAUCUUUAUUUUACUAACUUCCAGCUAAGUGGCGAUCCUACAAUUAUGGGUGUAAGCAACAAAACACAGAAAUUAUGUCCAACUCUGUCGCUAAUGAAAUCAUAGACAUAAUCAUAAUCAUAUCAAUUUUUGAUUGUUACUGAUAUAACUGAAAACAUAUUUUACAUAUUGAUAUUUAAUAUUUUAGUGUAUCAUUGUGUCACAAAAUUAUUUUUGUAAUAUAAUGAUAGCUUUACCUAAUAUAAGUAAAUUUCGUUGUAAUCCUAUAUAUUUUCUAUUAUUCAUACAAAAGCAUUGUUUUGAGAGGGGGUCCAUAGGCUUCAGAAAAAUAUGAAAGGGAUCCAUUCUUCAAAAACUGUUGGAAUUUCAGUCAGUUUUUCUAAAGCCUCCUUUUUCUAUGUAAACCAUAGCUUGAAUGUUUUUUACUUGUCCUGAAAUGCCCCUAAGUCAAUAAACUUGUAUUUUCUUCAGAAAUCCUAUGAUCUAUUAUGUUUUUAUAUUGCAUGUGAAGUAAGAGCAUUUUUAGUGCCAGUUAGAAGAAUGAAUCAGACAUUAAAUUAGCAUUUACUAUAAUGAAAUCAGACCUGUAUAAUCACCACAGUGCAAUUACCCUCAUCUGAAAAUUUGCUAUGUUUCCCUUUUCAGCGUCAAAUAAUCAAAACUCUUAUUCAGCUGCGAAGGAUAGAAUGUUCUUCCUCCAAGUGCUGAAUACAGGCAUUGAUUCCCUGUGACAAAAAGGCUUCUAUAACGAUUGAUUAAAAUAUUUAUUAAGUGCUCACAACACACUAGACAGUUUGCUAGACAUAGUCACUUUUACCAGUGUAGGAAUAUUCACUACAACACACAGAUAUUUAGUACUAAAUAUAACAUGCCCAAGUCACCAUACAAUAUUUCAACGUAGAAAAACAUUUUAUGAGUAAACAGAUAAAGGAAACAAAAGUAAAACAUAGAAAUAUUUAUUUUUGCAUAUUUAUUUGUUGAACUGAAUUCCAGGAUUAAUCAAAUCCUCAGUCUCUGUUGAGUCCUGGUGAAUCUGUGUCUAAUGGAGAGGCAGCCUCAUUUGCAGUGAUUGGGCAACCGGAGCAGUAGUCACUGCUUCCAUUAAGCGUGAUGGUAUCAAAUAGUGGUGAUAUCACAUCUCAGGAAUCAGACAGUCAGUGGUGAUAUCACAUCUCAAGAGUCAGACAGACCCAAGUCUGCAUCCUGGCUCUACUGCUGACUAGUUCUGUGAUCUCGUUUAAAUUGCACUUGAAGCUCAGCUUUCCUACCUUAAAAAAUGAGAAUAAUACAUUAUGACUUGCAAGGUAGUUAUGGGAAUUAAAAAAGUUAUAUGGAAAAUGCCUGUCACCCAGUUGUCUGGCACAUAUUAAGCCCUCAACAAAUUUUAACUGUCACUGUUGUCAGAACUCUGCUCAAAUAUGCCCCCUUCCUAGCAAUAAGAGUUCAAGAAUCAUGUCAAUUUCUAAACUUAAAUAUUUAACUCUUACCAAAUAUACCAAGUAUGAUAUACUUUUUGGGGGGCAAUAAAAUUAAAUUAGAAGUUAUACACACACACACACACACACACACAUACAUGUACACAUACAUAUACAGAAAUGUAGGAAUCAAAUGGGAAAUACUGAAAGACAAUAAAAAUAAAUGCUAAAUGUUGUGAUACAUAGUUUGAUAUUUAUAUCCUGGCAUGAAAUAGGGUGAUUGAAGAGAGUUUAAAUGAAAGAGCAGUUUAAAAAUAUGUGGGUAAGUUUAAGGGAAGCGAUAUAGAAUGGUGCAGCACCCAAGCAGCAGCAAAUGUGGGGAGCCCCUACUACACCACAAACCGAGGAGGGGAGGAAGCCAUUUCCAGAACCUGCAGAGAGCGUGGCUGUCACUGCAGGAGAGCACCUCCCAAGAGGAGUUACAGCCUUAUCUAGAGGGGCACAGCCACUGUCCCACCCCUGUGUGGGAGGGAAGUCUAGGGAUCAUAUAGUCUAACCUCUGUCUUCAUCAAACCCCAAAACUGGCUGGAAGCCAGAGAACUCAGGAACCCCAAGUAAAGCACUCUGGAGCAUGAUGGUGAAGGGUAGAGAGUGAAUAUGAAGAGGCUGACAGAGAUUAAUAAGUAAAAUAUUAUAAAAUGUACUUAGAAAUUCAGAGGAGGGAGCCAUAGGGAUUUGAAUUAUCUCAGGAAGCUGCUCUAACGAUGCAAGCUAGUCCUACAAAUAAGUCCUGCCUUAGACUCGCAUGUGUGUACAUUGUAAUGAAACAUGACAUAACCACUCUGCUCUAACAAUUCCACCCAGUGAUAUGGUCGUGAGCCCCUCCAGUAAUGGUGCUACUUCUUACAGCUAUACACCAUCAGUUAUGGUGAACCAGCUUGGCAAGAGCCCAGGAUUUUUGCCCUGCAAGUCUUCUGGAAGUUUAGAGAGAGGUUACUUAGCAAGCAAAUUAUCUUGUAUGAACAGAGUGAACAAAUGCAUACUGAGGUAAAAAUUGCAACUAACCUGACAAUAGGUCUCAGCCUUGUUUUUCUCCCUGCCCAUAAAUGGUCUGGUUAUCUGUUGGAAGACAAAUGCUCUCUGUUGUCAAGGAGCCUACUGAAUCCUUCACUCAGCUGCCAUUGAUUACUCCUACAGUACCUAUUCAUUUGCAACAUUCUAUUGAUCUGUUUACAGAAUUCACUUCAGGACUUAUUUUGUGACAGAGAUGCUAUCAACAAGGGAUUCCUUUGGGUCUUGUUUAUAAUUUUGUUGUGGUUAGCAAGGCUGUUUGUAUGUUCAAGUAGAUUGUCCCAAAUGUUUGGUCUUAUUUUGUGCAAUAGUAAUAAAUCAGUCUUUCCACAGUCAAUUCAGUGAAUUAUUCAUUCAGCAAACAUUUUCUCAGAGACUGUUUUGUGCCAGGCACUGUGAUAGGUAUUAGAGAUGCAUCUGUUAGCUCUAAGAGGCCAAAUUAUUUUCAUAUUUUAAAUUCUAAUGUACUGGUAAUACUGUCUUUUUAUUGUUCUCUUGAGAAAGACUCUCAAACCUAGCUAGGGAUCAAGCAGAAAAGAGUUCUAUAAUUGAUGACUAAUGUCUACAGCACUUUCAGCUGAGUAUCCGCUCACCUGGUUGGUCUGUGUAAUGCAUUGCAUCUUUCAGGUUCAGUACCACUUCUUUUUGAUAAGAAGAAACCUUUGUAUAAUAGUAACAGACAAGUUUACUUUAAGUAUAGAUUUUCUUGUACCCAGAAGGCUCCCCAAAUCUUUUGUUGAAUAAAUUAAUUUAAGGCUUUCAACAUUCAAAGGAAUUGGCCUUUAUCUGGACAAUGUGUGGUUCUCACUUUCUAUCCUUUCUACUUCUGUCAUACUCUGAAAAGUGACAGUGAAAACUCACAUACAAAAUGGUGCAUACCUUUCUGUGGCUGGCAUUUCUAAAGAGCUUCCCUAAUGAUAUCUAUGAAUCUACAUAUGAAGAUUGAAACUAAUGGAGCAUAUGUGAAAUUAGGAAUGACUGGGUUUUAAGCUCCAGACCACUUCCAAGUGGAAUCUAAGAAACAAUUGGAAAGUGAUGGUUGCAUUUUCUGUCUGUGACAGUUACAUGGAUGUAUUCUAUACUGGCUUCAUAGAAAAAAUUAAUUCUAAAUUUGUCCCUUAGUUAGAAACAAUGAAGCUUUACAACCUCAGAACAUCUUGAGAGAUGUUUCCUGGACAACUUCUCUUCAGGAACAUCCAUCUUGGUGAAAUGAAUUAAAUCGUUAGGUAUUAUGUUUGUAUGCAUAUUCUUCAAGACACACAUACAGUGGAUGAAUUCACAGUAAUUUAAUCCAUUAUCUUUUCCUUCUUAAGGUAACUUCUAUCAAAUGGUCUCUGAGUUUUCCUCUCUCUCUCUGUCUCUCUCUCCCUCCUUUCUUCAUGUUUUCUAAGGAUUAAAAACAUCUCACUUUUGGAUCACUGGCCUUUGCUUCAUGACUCUGUACCUUAACCUAGAAUGAAGCAAGAGUCUACUCAUACCUAUAAUGGUCAAAAUGCCUGCUAUUUCUCUUUAACCUGUGGGUCACUCCUGCCUUUAGAAAGGAUAAUCAAAAUAUUCAACAACUCACAAGGCAAAGACAGCAAGCUGGGAGAAUAGAUGUUGGCCCAUAGCCCUGAAGGAGGGGUUCAGAAGCCCAAGCAUGAUUGAUGAAUCAGGCAUUCAUCUUUAGUUGCCACCAAUUAUGAGAUGGUCUGAGGUUUCCUGGGGGAAAGAAUAAGGUAAGUGGGCCAGAGGGGAUUUUAUUCUUGAGGGCUAGGAUGGAUAUUAAUCAAAUGCCAACCCUUUGUAGUCAGGAUCUGUUGGGUUCUGCUGUUUGGCCCCUUCUCUGAGGGCUGCAGAGAUUCCCAGGGGAGAGAAUUGCAGCUGAUAGGACACCCAAGCCCUCUGUUCUAAUAGGAGACAAGGCACCACCAUCUCUCAUUGCUUUUUCUCCUUCUCCAUGUUAAAGAAAAACUUACUCUGACACUUGUUGAAAUGACAAGGCAAACUUCAUUCAGGAUUACCACAGUAGGUACAGGCACUGCUGCAAUGGAGUUUUGCAGCAAAGGAGAGAGACUGGGCUUGACUCCGAAUAUAAUGAGGAAAAGUGGGAAUGUAAACCAAGGAGCAGAGUGGAAGAGAGGGUCAGUGGAUGGAAAAUUACUGAGAGGAAGCCUCAAGGGUAAGGGGAGGCCGUGGUUCUGGCUGAACUGGCCUAACAGGGUUCUUGCUAAAGACAGGCCAGGGUGACCAGACACCACCUGGCGGAUGGUGGAGCAUGAAGAAUUUGAGUAGAUAUUAAUGGUGAUCAGAUAUUGCGGGUGGAGGAUUCAGGCUAAACCAAUGUGAGCGGAAUCUUGCUAAAACUUUGUUCUCAAAAGACAUGGCUGAGGAUGGGGCCUUAUGGGGCCUAACUGGGCCCAGAGGAGCCUGACUAGUUUGGACAAGGAGAGAAUUUUUGUCAGCCAUGUGUUUUGCUGCUUGUUCUUUUUUUCUUUCCUUGUCUUUGAUAUUUCUUUUCUUUUCUUUUCUAAAUUUGGUUAGCUAUUAUAAUAUUUAUUUUUUACUGAUGCUUACUCUGAUCCAUGUAGUAUACUAAUUGCUUUAUGAGCAUCAUCACAUUUAACCCUGUCAACAAAUUUAAAAUGUGGUUACCUCUAUUACAGAUAAAGAAAUUAGUUUCAGAAAGGUUUCCAAGAUCUUAACAUGACCAAAAAAAAAAAAAAAAUUACACAGUUGAUGCACAUCAUGUAUGGAAUGUGAACCCAGACCUCACUGAUUGAAGAUUGCACAUAUUAACUAUGUCACUAUGUCAGCAUAUCCCAGCAUUUUGUCUUUUUAAUUUAAAUAUCAUUAGACUGUCUUGUUCUCUCUCGAAUACUUCCUGUUGCCUUAAACCAGGCAUCAUGCUAUAUGUAUGUUCUAUGUUUGUGUGUGUGUGUGAGACUAAUAUAUCAAUAUAUAGAUAGAUCAUAUAGCUAGAUCUAUACCUCCAUAUAUAUAUAUAUAUAUAUAUAUAUAUAUAUAGAGAGAGAGAGAGAGAGAGAGAGAGAGAGAGAGAGAGAGAGAGGGAGAGAGAGAGAGAGACUCACAUAGGCCCUUUAGCCAUUUGAAUUUGUGGUUCCUGUCCUAGAAAACACCAUAAUUUGUCCGUGGAGAGACCUGUUAUUUUAUUUGUGAAAAUGUCUUAAAGGCCCUCAGAUUAUACAAGGGUAAGCCCAAGGGCUAACCUAAAAGGAAAAGCAUAAGAGGGAAAGAGCUGAAUUGUUUUGCAUGAUAAAGUGACAGAGAAUUUAAGUUGACCCCUGACGGUUCAAGAAAAGUUUGGGGCUCUGGAAUUUGGUAAGAAAUAGGGGACCGAAAGGGUUAUUAAAAGGAUGAUGUCCCAAGGCAGCCGGCUGAGACCUAUGAGGAAAAUUAGUAGUAGUAGUAGUAGUAGUAGUAGUAAUCCUAAAACCGUAUAGGAGUGAAGGCCUAGAAAAUAGAACUUGUGGAAGAAUGCAAUUUGGAUUUUAUUUGGGGGUGGUUGGUUUUGUUAAUGAGGAUCUGGCUGGGAAGGGAAAUUUGGAGUAGGAGAGAUAAGAAACUAUAGACUCUCUCCCCCAGGAAUGCUCAGAAACCAUAGCAGUGGUGCUGGACUUCCACCAGAAGACUGAAGUCAGGUUGCUUGAAUAGUAAAGAAAACUGUGACCCCAGAAGAUUGGAGUAUAUGGGGGUAUUUGGGUUACAGGAUUUUCAGUGCUUUGAGAAAGAGUUGCUUCUUCUCAGAUUAAUUUUGGAACUCUUACUUGUUCUCCUAGUAUGGACAUUUAAACAAAUAAUUCUUUUGCUGUCAACUUGUUUUAUAAAGACCUUUCACUGACAACCUGUCCUAUAAAUAUCUGGGCAAAGGAAGAUCAGUCCCAAUUGGCUUUGAUCAUUUUUCUUUAUGGCACUGUGUUUUGUGGGCAUGACAUAAGGUCACCCUAAGCUCUAUACCACCUGUCUUUGCAGAUAUUUUCCAAACUAUGUCCCGUGGAAUGUGUUUGGAGAUGGAUUCUCAUUAUCGUCAAAUCAACGGUCAAUUACCACUUGUAAAGGAUCUUAAGGGUGUUUGUAUUUCCUUGAGAAAAUAGAAUUAGAUUCAGUAACAAUGGUUAGCACUUACUGAGUGCCACUGAGCCAGACACUCUCUCGAGUAACUUAGUGUUAGCUAUCAAAUGUUCCUAAUACCCUGUGAGGUUGCUGCUGUUCCCAUUACCAUCCUUCUGAUAAAAAUAAACCCAGGUGUGUGGAAGUGAGCGAUUUGGAACAAGGUAUCAUAGCAGCGGUCAGUAGCAGAGUUGGGACAUUGACUCCAGCAAUCAGGUUUUGCUCUGAGCCUCUGCAACAUCUUGAUAAAAUAAUUGUUGGUUAUUGGAAAUGGUACAGUUUUUGAUAAUCUCAUUUUGUCAUUUUUAAGCCCUAAACUUUUAAGAAAGCACCUUUGCUGUUUUUUUCAGUGGUGGUCAGGAAUGAAUGUUCUCAAAUUUUGGCCUUGGGGAACGUAAGUUAAUGAAUGCAUGUGAAAAUGCUGUCCAUAGAAGUUUGGGGGCUAAUAGAACUUACUUUUCCUUUCACUCAGAUUAUCCCUGGAGCAAUUUAAGACUUCUAAGUAGGAAAGACUUCUAGGUGUUUUUGACUAGAUACAAGAUUCUCAUGCUUAUGUUCUACUACAGUGACAAAUGAUUUAAAAACUAAGAUAAUUGGCAAAAAGGUGAACAAAUUAGGGAGAAUGGGAAGAAUACUUGAAGAGUAUUUGAGCACUUAAAAAAACUUAGAUUUUUCUCUGUGAACUUCACAGUACAAAUGCUUUAUUUUCUUCAAAACAUGACUCCAAAAAAUUUAAAAAAAGAUUGAUUUGGAUGAGAAGAUUUAUUUUAGAAUGACUGUCAUCUAAUUUGAGUGAUUCCUGUUAACUGUGGUUUCUGUCAUUUAGGAAAUUCUCACUUACUCAUUUGAUGUGGUGAGAGCCAUUUUUCCAUGUGGGAGAUUUUGGCCUGCUGCAUCUUGUGCUAUGGGACGCUCCAGCCCCUGCGUUUUCUUUGUCUUGAGCAAACUCAGCUGCCAGUUUCAUCUGUGAUCUGUUAUCCUGGAGUGGUCAAUCCUGACCUAACCAGUUGUAUGAUCUGUUGUGAAGAAUUGGAAGAAGCCGGUCUGCUGUAGAAGCUGUCUUACAGUAAUGUGCAUAUACUGCAUGUGAGAGACAAAGAAUAUAGUGAUUUAUUCUAGUGAUGUAUAUCAAGAAUUUAUGAGAUGGAAAUUGACAUGCCGGCUCCACAGCCCCCACCCAUGGUAAAAUUUUUUUAUGAAGGAUAAGACCCAUUCCUACUUCUAAUACUGGGUGAAUUAUUUAGAUAAACAUCUCCUUCAAUUUGUAGCACUGAAUUCCUUACAUGCAAUUCAACAGUGUAUUGCACUUCUAUUAUUUGCAAUGUGUCAUGGCAAACUGUGUUUUAUCAUUUUAAAUAUAAUCUAGUGAGGAAGAAAGACACAUACUUAAAUAAUUCUGAUACAAGUUAAUACUAUAAUAAAGUUGAAAGCACUAUAAAGAAUUAUAGACUGAGCUAUGGAAUUCAUUUUGAAUAGGGAUGGACUUAGACUGGGAAUUUUACUCUUUUUCAUAAGUUUAGUACUUUUGUUGUGAUUGUCAUACAUGGAUAAGGACAGCAUAUUCUAUACCUUUCCUUUUCCAUUUCUCUGAACCCUUCUUCUAGCAUCCUGUAUGCCUUAUGCCUGUGGCCAUUCUUACUCUUUAAGUAUGGGUCCUUUAAAUGGAGGAUACUAAUGACUUUCCUAGUCCUUUCCAUAUCCCAUGGCCAGCCAUGCCCCAUUUGGGAUGUUGAGUUGUAGAUGGGAGCAGUAGCUCCCCACUGAUACCAUGGCAAAGAACAAUAGCCUUAUUUAGGGUAGUGGAGCUACUUUGUGCUUCCCUGUCUGAAUAAACACAAAGGUCCUGACCCUGGCCCCCCUUGGAGAACUGGAGGAGGCAAUUUUACAUAACAAAUUUCAAUUAGUGGUGCUAAUGGAGAAGACUUGCUGUGAACCGCCUGAAUCCAGGGAAGAUUUGCAAACAAAGUCUCAGUUCAUGCUAUUUGUACCAAUUUCAAUUUAAGCUGCUGAUUAACUGUAUGUUUUUACACAUGUAGAAAAACAAAUUAUUGCAAUUACCAAGCCUCAGGAAUGUAACUCCGCAAGCUUUAUUUAAAACCACAAUGCAGCUGUGGCAAUCAUUUCCACAACAACUCUUGUAGUCUCGUAGCGUUUAUUUUUGUGUUGAGAUUUAUUUUUUAUUAAGUUUGUCAAAGACACUUUAUACAUAGGCGCUUAAUAAUGCUUUUUGGUGAGUGUCUGACUGAAAUCUUCCUAGUUGUUUUAAAAGAGUCUUACUUGUCAUAUUUUGAUGUGGAAUUCAGAGAUCAAUACAAUGUUAUGAAUUUGAGGUGGAUCUCUUUUUCUUUGGAUUUUUUCUUUCCUUUUUUUUCUUUCCUUUUCCCUUCUUUCUUCUCUCUUCCCCUUCCUCCCUCCAUUCUUUCCUUCCAUCUCUCUUUUCUUUGUUUUGGUUGAUAUUGGAAGUGAUCAUCAAUAGUGUGAGAGAACCACUGAAUCAUCCAUUGUUUCUUGUAGGAAUCUAAUUUUUGGAAGUGAAACAAAUGAAUCGUCCUCCUGAAAAGAAAACCAUUAGUUAUUUAGGAAUUUUUUUCUCUUCUCUGAGUGAGAGCUUCCUUUAUAUGUGACUUAAAUUCUUAAACAUGAGACUGCAGGGGACCAAAAGAGAGAGAGGCAAUUUCCUUUUAUAACUGCUUGUGAUAACACAUGUGGUUCUGUCACUAAGUGGUGGUAUUUCUUUUUAAGUUUAAUUCAGUCACCUAGUUUGUUUCUUUAAGCAUCAUGUUGUAGAUGUCUAAAUCAUCACCAUGUGGAAUGUGCUGAACUGAGCUGAUUAUUGCAUUCUAUAUACAUCUAGUAGGGAAUCCAACUUCCCGAAUUGAUGUCUACUAACUAGGCUUCUCUCUCUCUUUUCUUUUUCUGGAAAGUGAAAAGGUAAUUAAAGUUGCUUUUGUCAACCUAUCUUCUUGGGACUUUGGUCCUUGCUGUAAGGAUUUGGUGUUCAGCCUGAGGGAUUCUAGAAUUUCCUUUUUUUUGAAAAAUCUGAAUUCUAGCCAUGGUACCCUUUUCCCAGUACCAGACAUGUAGAUAAAAGACGAUGUAUGAGAGAGGGAAGGAAACAUUUGCAGUCCCUCUUCUAUUGAAAAACAUAUUGCUGUUUCUAUUUCUUCUAUCUUCUGGCAUUCUAGCCCCAAGUGUGUGUGACAGACAUUCAGUAACUGGAGAAAUGCUGGGAUUUUCAGUCUGGCAGUUUUGAUGUAAGACACAAACGAACAUCUUCUCAUUGCUUGUUCAUAUGGGCCAUUUUUAUGUCCAACAUGGUCUUCUUAAAGCAAACAUGCAAAAAUAAAAUUGUCCUAAAAAACCUGGUUGUUAUGGAGAAGCAUGUUUGCAUCAUUAUGUGCCUGAAAUAAAAUGGAAUGAUGGUGUUGAAUAUCCUUGAUAAUAAAUAAAAUAAUUCUUUAUUACAUAUUGUGUGUGCCUUGCUUACAAAUGUAUGAGAACAUUUUGGUUUUGUGUAUAAUAGAUUGCAUUAUUAUCCAUGGAAAUUAAGUAAGGGAGCAGCAUAAAUGGAAUUUAAGCAGUUUAACAAUACUUCAUAGUGUGAAAGUGUGCUGAAAACUAUAAGCCAUCUUUGUAUUAUUAUAUACUGACAGAGUGAGUCUAUGUGAGUAUGCAAAUUUUAAUCUGAUGUGAAUCAUGUAACUAAGUCACUAUUAGUCAAAGUUUCACAGAAUUAUUACAUUUCUAGCUACGAGAAAAAUUACUUCAAGUUGACAGUAUAUUGUAGGAAAAUCAAUGACUAAUUGCUUUCACCUUUAAAGCAAAAUAUAAUUUAGUUUGGUUAAUAUUUGUAUUUGCCAAUCAAAAUUGAGACAUUUUAGCCUCUGAAUAUAUCAUAAAUAAUCCUUUGUUUUAUAAUUGUGUUUAUGGGCUAGCUUUAGUCUCAAAUCUCAGAGACCAAUUUCAACUUCCACAGCUAGUAAGAGGAAGUGGAAAUAUGGAUAAAGUUUCAGGUAUGGUUGGAUCUAGGAUCUCAAACAAGAUCAUGAAGAUUUUUUUUUUCCCCCUCCUUUUUUUUUUUUCUUCCUUGGCCGUUCGUAUUCUCCGUUCCUUCUUCCUGCUCUCAAUCCUGCAUGCCGGUCUUUGCUUUGGGACUGAUCUCACUCUCCUCACAUGUUGGGGAAGAUGGAUUCUAGCAGUCUCAAGUUUGAAUCAUUCCUUUCUUCCUUGUUCCAAAAAGAAAAGUGACAUUCUCACUCCUUGUCUAUAUACCCCAGAUAAGGCAGAGCACUGAUGAUCCUUACUUGUAUAACAGACCCAUUCCCUAUGGAUAAAUAUAUACUGAGAGGGAAUAGUGCAUAUUUGAUGGUUCACGUUUAUGUCACAUGCUCACUGCCACAGGCAGGAAGUAGACUGCUGUGGAUAUCUACCGCGCCCAGGAAUAUUUAAAAUAGUUUUUCCAUCAGAUCUUGAAAUAGACCAUUAAAAAAAAAGAUUUCAAUCUGUAAGAUACAUUAGCCAUAUAUAUGAAUAACACACUUACUGAAAGCUGCAUAAGAAUGACAUUAAGGCGCGCCCGCGAUCAUGUGACACGUUCAAGAUGGCGGCGCCCGGCUCCCUGUGGCUCUUGGCCGUCGCUCUCCUGCCCUGGUCCUGCGCUGCUCUGGCGCUGGGGCGUCUGGACGCGCCCGCGCCCUUGCCGCUGGUGAUCUGGCGUGGGAUGGGAGACAGCUGUUGUAAUCCCUUAAGCAUGGGUGCUAUUAAAAAAAUGGUUGAGAAGAAAGUACCUGGAAUUUACGUCUUAUCGUUAGAGAUUGGGAAGACCAUGAUAGAGGAUGUGGAGAACAGCUUCUUCUUGAAUGUCAAUUCCCAAGUAACAACAGUCUGUCAGAUUCUUGCUAAGGAUCCACAAUUGCAGCAAGGCUACGAUGCUAUGGGAUUCUCCCAGGGAGGCCAGUUUCUGAGGGCAGUGGCUCAGCGAUGCCCAUCGCCUCCCAUGAUCAAUCUGAUCUCCGUUGGGGGACACCACCAAGGCGUUUUUGGACUCCCUCGAUGCCCAGGAGAGAGCUCUCACAUCUGUGACUUCAUCAGAAAAACGCUGAAUGCUGGGGCUUAUUCCAAAGCUGUUCAAGAACGCCUGGUGCAAGCAGAAUACUGGCAUGACCCCAUAAAGGAGGAUGUGUACCGCAACCACAGCAUCUUCUUGGCAGAUAUCAAUCAGGAGCCGGGUGUCAAUGAGUCCUAUAAGAAAAACCUGAUGGCCCUGAAGAAGUUUGUAAUGGUGAAAUUCCUCAAUGAUUCCAUUGUGGACCCUGUAGAUUCUGAGUGGUUUGGAUUUUACAGAAGUCGUCAAGCCAAGGAAACCAUUCCCUUACAGCAGACCACCCUAUACACACAGGACCGCUUGGGGUUAAAGGAAAUGGACAAGGCAGGACAGCUAGUGUUUCUGGCUACAGAAGGAGACCAUCUUCAGCUGUCUAAAGAAUGGUUUAAUGCCAACAUUAUACCCUUCCUUGAAUGAAACCCUUGAAGUUCGUAACACAGCACAGGGAGCCCCUAACUCUUCCAAACCACAUGGGAGAGAGUUUCCUUCAUGCCCAAGUCAGAGCUCAGAUCCAGUUUGCAACUAAUCCUUCUCUCCUAUCAUCAGCUGACAUGCCCUACUUGGAAAGAUCUAAGAUCCCAAUCUUAUCCUUUGCUCUUAUCCUUUCUUGCCUCCUUUUGCCAUAUGGUGUUAAAUGCAAAUUUAAUUAGGUAAUAACCAUGGAGAUUGUUUUACAACCUUUUGUUGUGGUCAGUCAAGUUUAGUGCUAAGAAAGGCAGUCUGCUACAGGUCAAUGCCAGAACUGUACCCAGGCCCAGAGGAGACUAAAGCAAAAAGAUAGAUUCUAAGGGCAAAUAUCUUCUUCAGGAAACUCUAGCCACAUUUCAAGCAGAGAGAAUGCUGAUGAUUUAACUAGUGCUUAGAAAAGUAUUGCUUGGAUGUUUCUGUGUAAUUUUUCUUAAGGCUGCCUUCCUCUCUGGGUAUGUUGCCCUCCAUGCUGUUUUAGCAAUAAUUAUUAGACAAAUCCCACUGACCUACCAUCUUGCCUCUGCAGCACCAUUUUGUCUCCUUUAGUAGUGAUGUAUUUGUUGCACUGUCAUAAGAGGAGGGAAGGGUUGCUUAAGAGUGGAAAUGUACAUCUUUAUAACCUAAAUAGGGGGUGAAGAAAACGUAGGAGUGAAUGAAAAAUAAGGCAGCUAGUUCUUUCCAUUCCAUCUUUGACCAACCUGCCCUUUCUUAGCAUGACUUGUGGUCUGGAUGCUAGAUUUGGAUUUUAGAGUCUGGAUGGUAAUUGCUAGCUUUAACAUAGAACAGAAGGAACAAUAUGAAGAGACUGGGCUUUCUAACUUCCAUCCCCCAAAACUAAUUUAUCAGCAUACUCCAAACUAUUUGAUAUGUUCUGUAAGAAAAGACUUGUUUGCUCAAAAAAGCUUAGAAAAUAUUGCACACUCCUUUUCUCCUUUUGGAGAUCAACCUCCAUUAGAAUACUAAGGACUCUGAGAAUUCCUGGUAUGUAUAGAAACUAACUAUAAUCUACCAUCUCCUAUGCUGUUUGAGCAUGGAAAUCAUAGCCCCCACUCUGUGAAAAUGUAUUAACACUUUCUAUUAAUAGAAGACUGUUCUGUAGAAUGCAAGUUUGGAGAAAUGAUUAGCUAUGCUUUGAUGCAAGGACAUUGUUAGUGCUGCUAAGUUUACCCUUUAUGGUUUUUCCUUUCUCUGUUAAGCCUCAUUCUUCAACUAAAAAAUGAAGAUUAAGGACAAGAAGUGGGGGAUGUGAAAACAGUUUUAUGAGGUUAUCUAAAAUAAAGAGUAGUUUCUUAAAAAAAAAAA